rnacentral:rRNA from 1 species
GCUAGUCGCACGAGUUUAGACUCGUGGCAUAUAGCUCAGUAACACGUGGCCAAACUACCCUACAGACCGCGAUAACCUCGGGAAACUGAGGCCAAUAGCGGAUACAACUCUUAUGCUGGAGUGCAGAGAGUUGGAAACGUUCCGGCGCUGUAGGAUGUGGCUGCGGCCGAUUAGGUAGACGGUGGGGUAACGGCCCACCGUGCCCGUAAUCGGUACAGGUUGUGACAGCAAGAGCCUGGAGACGGUAUCUGAGACAAGAUACCGGGCCCUACGGGGCGCAGCAGGCGCGAAACCUUUACACUGCACGAGAGUGCGAUAGGGGGACUCCGAGUGCGAGGGCAUAUAGCCCUCGCUUUUCUGAACCGUAAGGUGGUUCAGGAACAAGUGCUGGGCAAGACCGGUGCCAGCCGCCGCGGUAAUACCGGCAGCACGAGUGAUGGCCGAUAUUAUUGGGCCUAAAGCGUCCGUAGCUUGCUGUGUAAGUCCAUUGGGAAAUCCACGCGCUCAACGCGUGGGCGUCCGGUGGAAACUACACGGCUUGGGGCCGAGAGACUCGACGGGUACGUCCGGGGUAGGAGUGAAAUCCUGUAAUCCUGGACGGACCACCAAUGGGGAAACCACGUCGAGAGACCGGACCCGACAGUGAGGGACGAAAGCCAGGGUCUCGAACCGGAUUAGAUACCCGGGUAGUCCUGGCCGUAAACGAUGCUCGCUAGGUAUGUCACG